rnacentral:tRNA from 1 species
GGCCUCCCCCAGGGGGAGGAAGCCCUUCAAGGCCUCCAGGGCCUCGGGGUCAAAGCCGGUGUUCAGGGCGUAGGAGAGGUCCCC